GACGAACGCUGGCGGCGUGCUUAACACAUGCAAGUCGAACGGAAAGGCCCAAGCUUGCUUGGGUACUCGAGUGGCGAACGGGUGAGUAACACGUGGGUGAUCUGCCCUGCACUUCGGGAUAAGCCUGGGAAACUGGGUCUAAUACCGGAUAGGACCACUUCUUGGAUGUUGUGGUGGAAAGUUUUUCGGUGUGGGAUGAGCUCGCGGCCUAUCAGCUUGUUGGUGGGGUAAUGGCCUACCAAGGCGUCGACGGGUAGCCGGCCUGAGAGGGUGUACGGCCACAUUGGGACUGAGAUACGGCCCAGACUCCUACGGGAGGCAGCAGUGGGGAAUAUUGCACAAUGGGCGCAAGCCUGAUGCAGCGACGCCGCGUGGGGGAUGACGGCCUUCGGGUUGUAAACUCCUUUCGCUAGGGACGAAGCUGAUUUUGUGACGGUACCUGGAGAAGAAGCACCGGCUAACUACGUG
rnacentral:rRNA from 1 species